UACGGGGGGGGCAAGCGUUGUUCGGAAUUACUGGGCGUAAAGGGCUCGUAGGUGGCCAACUAAGUCAGACGUGAAGUCCCUCGGCUUAACCGGGGAACUGCGUCUGAUACUGGACGGCUUGAGUUUGGGAGAGGGACGCGGAAUUCCAGGUGUAGCGGUGAAAUGCGUAGAUAUCUGGAGGAACACCGGUGGCGAAGGCGGCGUCCUGGACCAACACUGACACUGAGGAGCGAAAGCCAGGGGAGCAAACGGG
rnacentral:rRNA from 1 species